rnacentral:rRNA from 1 species
UGGAUCCAGACUUUGAUUAUGGCUCAGGAUGAACGCUAGCUACAGGCUUAACACAUGCAAGUCGAGGGGAAACGAUAUUGGAAGCUUGCUUCCGAUAGGCGUCGACCGGCGCACGGGUGAGUAACGCGUAUCCAACCUGCCCACCACUUGGGGAUAACCUUGCGAAAGUAAGACUAAUACCCAAUGAUAUCUCUAGAAGGCAUCUGAAAGAGAUUAAAGAUUUAUCGGUGAUGGAUGGGGAUGCGUCUGAUUAGCUUGUUGGCGGGGUAACGGCCCACCAAGGCAACGAUCAGUAGGGGUUCUGAGAGGAAGGUCCCCCACAUUGGAACUGAGACACGGUCCAAACUCCUACGGGAGGCAGCAGUGAGGAAUAUUGGUCAAUGGACGAGAGUCUGAACCAGCCAAGUAGCGUGCAGGAUGACGGCCCUAUGGGUUGUAAACUGCUCUUAUAAGGGAAUAAAGUGAGUCUCGUGAGACUUUUUGCAUGUACCUUAUGAAUAAGGACCGGCUAAUUCCGUGCCAGCAGCCGCGGUAAUACGGAAGGUCCGGGCGUUAUCCGGAUUUAUUGGGUUUAAAGGGAGCGUAGGCCGGAGAUUAAGCGUGUUGUGAAAUGUAGACGCUCAACGUCUGCACUGCAGCGCGAACUGGUUUCCUUGAGUACGCACAAAGUGGGCGGAAUUCGUGGUGUAGCGGUGAAAUGCUUAGAUAUCACGAAGAACUCCGAUUGCGAAGGCAGCUCACUGGAGCGCAACUGACGCUGAAGCUCGAAAGUGCGGGUAUCGAACAGGAUUAGAUACCCUGGUAGUCCGCACGGUAAACGAUGGAUGCCCGCUGUUGGUCUGAAUAGGUCAGCGGCCAAGCGAAAGCAUUAAGCAUCCCACCUGGGGAGUACGCCGGCAACGGUGCAACUCAAAGGAAUUGACGGA